rnacentral:rRNA from 1 species
AUUGAACGCUGGCGGCAUGCCUUACACAUGCAAAUCGAACGGAAACGGGCCUUCGGUUGCCGACGAGCGGCGAACGGGGGAGUAAUACAACCGCACGGGUCCCAUCGCUGGGGAUAACGAGGCGCAAGGUGUACUCAUACCGCAUACCGUCUACGGUUGUAAACAGGGGGGCUCAAUGGCUUGCGCGGGCUGUGCGGUCGCUUGUAGAUUGAGCCGCGGGUCAUUAGGUAGUUGGUAAAGUAAAAGCUUACCAAGCCAACGAUGGGUAGCUGACCUGAGAGGAUGAUCGGCCACACUGGGACUGAGACACGGCCCAGACUCCUACGGGAGGCAGCAGUGGGGAAUUUUCGGCAAUGGGCGCAAGCCUGAUGCAGCAAUGCCGCGUGCAGGAUGAAGGUCUUCGGGUUGUAAACUGAUGUUAUUCGGGACGAACAAACGUCUAUUAAUCCAGGCACGUCUUGACGGUACCGUAUGAAAAAGCACCGGCUAACUACGUG